AACACAAAGGAAGGAGAAAGAAUGAAGAAAAAAAAAAAGAAAAAAAGAGGAAAAAAUGAGAGAAAAAGGAAAAAGAAGGAAAAUGUAAUGCCAAAGCAUUACGUACAACAGAGUUUGCGUUUUUGAUUUCGUAAACCAAAAAGGAAAAAAUUACAGUCAUUUAAUUAUCCAGAAAAAAAACUGAUUGACGAUAACCUGCCGGAUUAUAAUAGCAUUCUUCUGUUCACCUCCUUUAUGAGAAUAAACAAAGAGGCCGAUGCGCGGUUGCACUAUGUUGUAUAUACUUAAAGUUUAAGGCGAAGUAAAAGUUCAACGCGACACUGUUUUAUUAACAAACAAAAUUGGAAUGUGAGUGUAAAACAUUUGAUCAAAAAAAAAACCAGGAAGUAAUUUUUUAAUUAAUUAAGGAAUAUAGAAAUUUUCCUUUUCAAGAUAAAAUUCUUCUAAUUAUAUUUAUUAUUUUUAAUUUCUUAAUACUUAAAUGUGAUCCUAAUUAAAUUCUGAAUGUGUUCUCUUUUUUUCAGGAUUUGGAUCAACCAUUUACAUGAAGCAGAUCACAGCGAGCGAUCGCUUAGUCUUGGUAAGACUUUAAGAUUGAGGAGACCGAAAUGUCAGGAGCGAAUGAUUUAAGUCGUGAAGAAGAAAUGAAAAAAAAAUGAAGAAUAAAUGAAGAAAAGGUUAAAAAAGAGGUGAACGAACAAGAAAAUCUAUAAGAUAAAGAUGUUCUAGAUGUUUUCAUGAGAAAAAGAGAGAAAAAAUAUUUAAGAGAGAAUGCAUUUAAGUUUCACAUCUAGAUGCUCCACGAAAUAUGCAGAUCUCUGUGUGAGUUAUUGCCACGGUUGAAAAACUCGGAUGAACUCGUUUCGUGGCAGUGAGAUUUGGCAGUGAGAUCUUUGGUAGAAUAGGAAUGAAACUCGGUUUAGGAGUUCAUAAUGAAACAGAAGAAGAGACAAACAGAAGAUUCAGAGAAAAGAUUGCAUCCGUUUUCUUGUUCUAAUUGACGUUUAAAUGCUAUUUAUGUUUUGGAAAUUUGAAUGGAUUGUGAGAUAUUACAAUAGGAAUACUGAAUUGAUAUUGAAAGGUAUUCAUUACUGACAUAAUGAGAAGUACUAUUAUAUUUACUAGAUUCUAUAUAAUGAUACGUGAAGAUCUUAAAUCGCGCGUCCUCGUUUCAACCGAGAUGCACCGUGAAAAUCACUAGUUUCCUUUUUCGUUAUAAUAAUCAACCGAGUUUGACAUUGACAUUUAACUGACAAUGAUGUAAUUGGUGAUGAAAGGAAGAGACCAAGUGGAACGUAGAAUUCGCACGAGUGCGCGAAUUCAAUGGAAGGUUAUGAAUAUCCGAUCCUCUGUCGAAGUUGCGUGUCAUAGUUAGCCAGCUUCUUCGCGCCGUGACGCCUUUGUCUGUUGCGCAUCCAAGUAGACAUUCCCUCGGUCACGAUGAAAGUGAAAAUCUUCGUUCUAGUCGCGGAUGACCUACUGUUUGCCAAGAAUCUGGGUGCUCCGUCAAACCACGACCAUCUCAUUCCGCCAAUUCCCGUAUCAUGAACCACUUACGAAGAUAAGCUAUUGAUCUGAAUAACUAUACUUUUGAGUAGUCAUUCAUGAUUGAUCUCCUGCCUUAUCUCUUGAAAUUUAACUGUUGGAAAAUUUCUUAGCUAUUCAAAAUGUAUAUAGCAUAAUGUUUCCUUUCUAGAUUUAGAUAUUCAAAAGUUAUCUAUCAAUGCAUAAUUCUUUUUUUUUUUUUUUUGUAAUACUUAAAAGUUAUCUGUUAAUACAUGAUAGUUUUUUUU
rnacentral:lncRNA from 1 species